AUUGUGUUGAGUGUGCUUCUUUCCCAGGGAUCCCCGCCCGACGUUGAACCAAGGAGACGGAAAGAUGAUCAACGUUGCCUCCGUGGCCGCUCUAAUAGGUGAGUGAUGAUUCUAUAACCCCCAACGUCCCUCUGGAGCGUGGCCAGGCCUCAUUUUAAUCCCUCCAUUUGGCGUCAAGUGUCGCGAGAGCGGGCGAAGGAUGAGGAGGAAGGAGGACAAAGUUAACACACAUUUUGUGUGCGCGCGUGUGUGUGUUGCACGCGCGCGCAAGCGAUUUGUAAAGUAUAUUUUUAGCAUCAGUUUCGUUAGCCGAAACUAAGGAGAAGAAACAUCGCUUUACGUGUCCCGCCGUCUUGCUGUUGAUUACAAAACGUCAAAAGGGAUUAGCCGGCUUUUCUCCUUUGCAAUCGCAUCUCGUUUAAACUCCGCGUGCACCACCGAGUCACGUCCAGGUCUGCUUACAGUCGAGCAGGAAAACCCAAGUGUUGUGAUUGCAUCUUGCCAAGGCGGGUUUGCAUCAUAAUAAACAUCCCCUCUUUGCUGAGCUGUCUGGAGGAUGCGGAAGCCAAGCCGAGGUCCGACUUGGGAAGGGAGACUUCCUGUGCAGCGGCAAAAAAAAAAAAAAAAAAGCCUAGCCUGUGCCAGCAGCCUUGUUUGAACAGCGGAAGACGGCUUUUGGAUUUUAGUAAGAGCCGUUAAAAGCCAGCGCGGUGUCAAAUGUUCCUCCUCCAACAGGUUUCCUCCAGAGGAACGACAACACUUCAUCAGCAGUUUAGUCAAAUUGCCAGUAAACUGCUGUGCCAUAUGGGCGCCACUCCUGACUACGGGGGCAAUCUGUUUAACAGGAGCACGCUGGUAACAACGAUGACAAGGCUGCAGAUGAACUUUUUGUGACGAGGUGGGAAUGCACGACCACACACAGACAGACAGACAGAGACGCGCACCUGCGGAUCACCGCGGCGUGUUACCGGAGAUUUCAACAGUGGAAGCAUUCGGAGGAAACGCAUCAUUGAAGCACCCGAGGGUGACCCGACGAGCCUGAAAAUCUGCUCGUCCGAGUCAAAAGAAUCGGCCACCGACCGUCCUUUAGAAAGGCGUCUAUCUCCUGA